UGGAGCGUGUGGUUUAAUUCGAUGCAACACGAAAAACCUUACCAAGGCUUGACAUGCUAGUAGUAGGAACCCGAAAGGGCAACGACCGGCCUUCGGGCUGGAGCUAGCACAGGUGCUACGUGGCUGUCGUCAGCUCGUGCCGUGAGGUGUUGGGUUAAGUCCCAUAACGAGCGCAACCCCUGUUCUGUGUUGAUUUCUCACAGGAGACUGCCCAGGAAUUCUGGGAGGAAGGUGGGGAUGACGUCAAGUCAGCAUGGCCUUUAUAUCUUGGGCA
rnacentral:rRNA from 1 species